AACGAACGCUGGCGGCAUGCCUAACACAUGCAAGUCGAACGAAGCCUUCGGGCUUAGUGGCGCACGGGUGCGUAACGCGUGGGAAUCUGCCCUUGGGUUCGGAAUAACAGUUAGAAAUGACUGCUAAUACCGAAUGAUGUCUUCGGACCAAAGAUUUAUCGCCCAAGGAUGAGCCCGCGUCGGAUUAGCUAGUUGGUGAGGUAAAUGCUCACCAAGGCGACGAUCCGUAGCUGGUCUGAGAGGAUGAUCAGCCACACUGGGACUGAGACACGGCCCAGACUCCUACGGGAGGCAGCAGUGGGGAAUAUUGGACAAUGGGCGAAAGCCUGAUCCAGCAAUGCCGCGUGAGUGAUGAAGGCCUUAGGGUUGUAAAGCUCUUUUACCCGGGAUGAUAAUGACAGUACCGGGAGAAUAAGACCCCGGCUAACUCCGUGCCAGCAGCCGCGGUAAU
rnacentral:rRNA from 1 species